AACGAACGCUGGCGGCAGGCCUAACACAUGCAAGUCGAGCGCCCCGCAAGGGGAGCGGCGGACGGGUGAGUAACGCGUGGGAACGUACCCUUUGCUACGGAAUAGCCUCGGGAAACUGGGAGUAAUACCGUAUGUGCCCUUCGGGGGAAAGAUUUAUCGGCAAAGGAUCGGCCCGCGUUGGAUUAGGUAGUUGGUGGGGUAAUGGCCCACCAAGCCGACGAUCCAUAGCUGGUUUGAGAGGAUGAUCAGCCACACUGGGACUGAGACACGGCCCAGACUCCUACGGGAGGCAGCAGUGGGGAAUAUUAGACAAUGGGCGCAAGCCUAAUCUAGCCAUGCCGCGUGAGCGAUGAAGGCCUUAGGGUUGUAAAGCUCUUUCGUGGGGGAAGAUAAUGACUGUACCCCAAGAAGAAGCCCCGGCUAACUCCGUGCCAGCCGCCGCAGUAAGAC
rnacentral:rRNA from 1 species